rnacentral:tRNA from 1 species
GCGAGAGUGGCGGAAUGGCAGACGCACCAGAUUUAGGAUCUGGCGCCGCAAGGCAUGAGGGUUCGACCCCCUUCUCUCGCACCA